UGUGUUUAGCAGUCUGUACCAGGAGGAGACGUCUGGAGAGGCGGUGGCAAUUACUGGAGAAGACCUUUCAAGGGGAAGUAACAGUUAAAAGAGGGGCAACCUGAGAGGGAGUGAGAGUUCCUGGGAACGAGACAUCAAGAUAGUUAUCUGUAGAUCCCUCACUAUCACAACGAACCAACUAGGAGUAACGUUAUAACCACAAAAAUACCCCAAAAUAUAAAAAAAAAACAUGAAAAAAACAACGUCCUAGAAGGUGCUUUUUGUUGAUUAUUUCCUGAGUAUAAGAAGAACCUUUAUCUUUUAUUAACAGAAAAUUCCAGCUUUGUGAUGAAGACACUCCUGCCCGUGAUAUUCGUCCUGAAUGCUUUGUCAAGUUUGUCCCGUGGCAUCGUGGUCACCCAGGAUAAAGGAUUUGUGUUGCAUUCCGGAUCGCGGGUGAACAUCUCCUGCAAGCAUACCGGCGACGGCAGCUACAACAUGCUCUGGUACCAACAGAAACCGGGAAAGGGACUGGUGCUCAUUGCCAUAUCGGUAGCAACAGGAGAUUCUACGGUGGAGAAAGAUUUCAAGGACUCCUGGACUAUGGACAGAGCAAGCAACGAGGACUCUGUUCUUGGAAGGAAAGCUGAGUUGACGACUGAGGACUCGGCCGUGUAUUUCUGCGCAGCUAGUUUACACAGCCAUAGAACUCUGAGCGACGGCCAACACAAAACAUCAGCAAUGGAAGUCAUCAGUGAGGGCAUGAAAUGCGAUAGAAAUGCUGCAGGGGGCGCCGUGCCUCUAAUGUUUUAUUUUCGCUUCAUUGAGCCAUUUCCAGGAGUAAAGCUUGCGUCUGGUAUAAGAACAUAG